AGAGUUUGAUCAUGGCUCAGGACGAACGCUGGCGGCGUGCUUAACACAUGCAAGUCGCGCGGUUCUCGAAGUUCGGGGUUGGGAGUUCGAACCUCGAACCUCGAACCUCGAACUUCGAACCUCGAACUUCGAGAAUAGCGGCGGACGGGUGAGUAACACGUGGAUAACCUACCCAUUAGACCAGGAUAACACCGGGAAACUGGUGCUAAUACCGGAUAAGCUCUUUAGAGUAAAAGCCUUAAAGAGGAAAGGGGAAACUCACUAAUGGAUGGGUCCGCGUCCUAUUAGCUAGUUGGUAGGGUAACGGCCUACCAAGGCGACGAUGGGUAGCCGGCCUGAGAGGGUGACCGGCCACACUGGGACUGAGACACGGCCCAGACUCCUACGGGAGGCAGCAGUGGGGAAUAUUCCGCAAUGGGGGAAACCCUGACGGAGCAAUGCCGCGUGAGUGAAGAAGGCCUUUGGGUCGUAAAACUCUGUCUUGAGGGACGAAAAAAAUGACGGUACCUCAAAAGAAAGCCCCGGCUAACUACGUGCCAGCAGCCGCGGUAAAACGUAGGGGGCGAGCGUUGUCCGGAAUUACUGGGCGUAAAGGGCGUGUAGGCGGCCUGUGUAGUCAAGUGGUGAAAACCCGGGGCUUAACUUCGGGAUGGCCCUUGAAACCAACAGGCUUGAGGACAGGAGAGGGGAGUGGAAUUUCCGGUGUAGCGGUGAAAUGCGUAGAUACCGGAAGGAACACCAGUGGCGAAGGCGGCUCCCUGGACUGGUCCUGACGCUGAGGCGCGAAAGCGUGGGGAGCAAACAGGAUUA
rnacentral:rRNA from 1 species